UGUACCCCAGGAGUGAGGAAUAACUGCCCGAAAGGGUGGCUAAUACCGCAUACGGUCUUCGGAUUAAAGCCUUCGGGCGCUUUGGGAACAGCUCGCGUACGAUUAGAUAGUUGGUGAGGUAAAGGCUCACCAAGUCAACGAUCGUUAACUGGUCUGAGAGGAUGAUCAGUCAGACUGGAACUGAGAUACGGUCCAGACUCCUACGGGAGGCAGCAGUGAGGAAUCUUCCACAAUGGGGGCAACCCUGAUGGAGCAACGCCGCGUGCAGGAUGAAGGCCUUCGGGUCGUAAACUGCUUUUAUAGGUGAAUAAUAUGAAUGUAGCUUAUGAAUAAGCACCGGCUAACUACGUGCCAGCAGCCGCGGUCAUACGUAGGGUGCAAGCAUUAUCCGGAGUGACUGGGCGUAAAGAGUUGCGUAGGUGGUUUGUCAAGUGAAUAGUGAAAUCUGGUGGCUCAACCACACAGACUAUUAUUCAAACUGGCAAACUCGAGAAUAGCAGAGGUAACUGGAAUUUCUAGUGUAGGAGUGAAAUCCGUAGAUAUUAGAAGGAACACCAAUGGCGUAGGCAGGUUACUG
rnacentral:rRNA from 1 species